GCCAGUGUGGCAUAGUGGUUUGAGUGUUGGACUAGGACUCUGGAGACCAGGGUUCGAAUCCCGUCUCAGCCG
rnacentral:tRNA from 1 species